rnacentral:lncRNA from 1 species
AUGGAGUCGCCGCUCGAACUGCUGGCCGCGCUACCCGCGCUGAUCACGGCGCUGGCGCUGCUGUUCGCCUGGCUGCUGCUGCGGCGUGGGGCGGCCAGGGCUCCGGAGAGCACUACCCGGGCCGGGGACCCCGGGGCUCCCGCGCCGCCUGAGCCUCCCGAGCCCUGCGCCCUGGAGCCCCCAGCCAGUACAAGAAGAUGAUGACCAAAGAAGAACUGGAGGAGGAACAGAGGAUUGAGCUGACCUCUGACCUCACCUCCCUGUAGAGGGUCCCCUAGCCCCGGGCCACAAAUGUUCUUGCAAACCCUUGUGGUAAGGAGGCCCAGCUGGAGGGGGCAUCCCCUGACCACACCUCUGUGCUACGUCUGAUGCUGGGGCUUGCAGAGGCUGCUCAGGCUGGCUUCGCCCUCCUGUCUCUGGGUUCUGGAGAGAAGAUAGCUACGAGACAGAACUGGACCCAGCCGAAUUUGGGGGAGCGGCCCUAGAACCUGUCCCCUGAGAAAUAGCACGAGUGCAGAGCUGGUGAGAUGGCUCAGCAAAUAAAAGUGCUUGCUGCC